rnacentral:rRNA from 1 species
UAGGGAAUCUUCCGCAAUGGACGCAAGUCUGACGGAGCAACGCCGCGUGAGUGAAGAAGGAUUUCGGUUCGUAAAACUCUGUUGUUAGAGAAGAACAGCGCAUAGAGGAACUGUUAUGCGUGUGACGGUAUCUAACCAGAAAGCCACGGCUAACUACGUGCCAGCAGCCGCGGUAAUACGUAGGUGGCAAGCGUUGUCCGGAUUUAUUGGGCGUAAAGCGAGCGCAGGCGGUCAAUUAAGUCUGAUGUGAAAGCCCCCGGCUCAACCGGGGAGGGUCAUUGGAAACUGGUUGACUUGAGUGCAGAAGAGGAGAGUGGAAUUCCAUGUGUAGCGGUGAAAUGCGUAGAUAUAUGGAGGAACACCAGUGGCGAAGGCGACUCUCUGGUCUGUAACUGACGCUGAGGCUCGAAAGCGUGGGUAGCAAACAGG